AAAAAUUAGACACAUACUAUCACAGACAGAUGCAGAAAAACUAAUCCAUGCAUUUGUUACUUCAAGGCUGGAUUACUGCAACUCUUUAUUAUCAGGUUGCCCCAAUAAGUCCAUUAAAACAAUUAAUUCAGAAUGCUGCAGAACGAGUACUGACAGGAACUAGAAAAGGAGAUCACAUCUCUCCUGUACUAGCUUCUCUGCAUUGGCUACCUGUAAAAUGUAGAAUACAAUUUAAAAUCCUCCUCCUCACCUAUAAAGCUCUUCAUGGUCAGGCCCCUUCAUAUCUUAAAGAGCUCAUAGUACCCUAUUACCCCUCUAGAACACUAUGUUCUCUGAAUGCUGGGCUACUUGUGGUUCCUAUAGUCUCUAAAAGUAGAACAGGAGCCAGAGCCUUCAGUUACCAAGCUCCUCUCCUGUGGAACUAGCUUCCAGUUGUGGUUCGGGAGGCAGACACCCUCACCACAUUCAAGAGUAGGCUUAAGACAUUCCUCUUUGAUAAAGCUUAUAGUUAGGGCUGGAUCAGGUGAGUCCUGAACCAUCCCUUAGUUAUGCUGCUAUAGGCCUAGACUAUCGGGGGAUUUCCCAUGGUGCACUGAGCUACUCUCUUCCUCUCUCUUUCUGCACUCAUUCAUGUCCCUUUAAUGCAUGUUACUAACUCCACUUCUUCCCCGGAGUUCUUGUGCUUUCUCGUCUCGCAGGUUCUCAUGGAUCCUGGUGGAGCCUCCUGCCAUGGUCCUGCUUGACUGCCAUUGCCAAUACUGUUGUUGCUGUGCACCUGUCUGUCUGUCUGUCGCUCUCUCUCUCUCUCUCUCUCUCUCUCUCUCUCUCUCUCUCUCUCUCUCACCCCAACUGGUCGAGACAGACGACCACCCACCUAGAGCCGGAGGAUCUGUCCUAGGUUUCUGCCUUUUAACAGGCAGUUUUUCCUUGCCCUUGUCGCCAAGUGCUUGCUCAUGGUGGUACUGUUGGGUCUCUGUAAUUAAUGUUAAAGAGUUCGGUCUAGACCUGCUCUAUUUGAAAAGUGUCCUGAGAUAACUUCUGUUAUGAAUUGGCGCUAUACAAAUAAAAUUGAAUUGAAUUGAA